rnacentral:lncRNA from 1 species
GGCCCUCAAUCUCGAUGAAGAUAACACGAGGAGUGCACAGGCAAGUGCCCAGUUGCCAGCAAUUGCUUCAAAAGCCCAUGUUCUUCUUUUCCCCCAUUCUUAGGCACAGCCAAAAUUGGUCAGAAAGGGGAGUAAAGUGGGACACGAGCUUCAAAGUAGGGAAACCAAAGAAGGGAGCAUCCACGUCCUCUCUCUGCAGCUUCUCCCCCGCGUUCUUCGGGCGAAUCCGAGGGACGGGCGCUGCGCUGGGGAAAGUUUGUCCCACCCGCGUUUCGCAGCUGGUUGCAAGGAGAGGAGGAGGAGAGGGAGGGUCAAGCUCGGAGCCUGUGACCGCACGGAUGAUCGAGCCGGCGUCGCGCUUACCUCGCAGUCCUCGUACUUGAUAUUAUCCGUCAAUUUCCAAAGCAUUUUCAUGGAUCGGCGUGAACGGAUAUGCCCCUCUCGGUCUCGCACCCAAGUGGAGCUACUCUCUGGCUCUUUACCAACAGCCUAAUCGCCUCAUUAGCAUAUCAACAAUAGUCCAAUUGCUCGCCAGUACCACAAUCUGCCGCCGGCCGCUCCGACACAGGUAUAAAGGCCUCUCUACGCCGCGAACUUGCUUCUAGAGCGCACUCCAGCCUGCGAACUGAUAAAACCUUCCUCGAGCUCCGCCGCGAGGCCCUGCCCCAACACCCCCUCUCUUACCCCAAUUCCGCCACAUUCCCCUUCCUUUCUUUCUCCGCUUCCUUUUCUCCAGAGAUGCCUUCUGCAAAGCCCGGCACUGCUCAAGGUCCAAGCGCCACGCCUGGGGCCCAGCUUCUAGCACUUCUCCCUUAACCCUGCUACCACGAUCCGAGCUGCCCUUUUGGCCCCGUGCAAUUUUAUUAGAAAUCAUUAUCCCUUUCGCAAUUAAACAUAACCACCAAACCAA